rnacentral:lncRNA from 1 species
GGUUGAUUCCCAAGUCUACACUCAUUCACAUCUUUGUGUCUUUGUUUAUUUGUUUUUAUUUUUUUAACUGAAAUUGUUUUUACACAAUAUAUUCUUGUCAUGGUUCCUCUCUGCCUCCUCCCUCUCAGCCCAUAUCCUCCUGACUUCCCCACCCAACCACCUGACUCCAUGCCCCUUCUUCCUCUCUCACUUUAAAAAAUAACAAACAAGUUACUCCCUCCUCUCCUAUGGUCUCAAGACCAUCUCUCUCAGUGUUACACAGCAUUCCCCAACACAGCAUUCACCUGUGAAGGCUGGGUCCUGGUUUUGCUACAUGGACUCCCUAACUCUUCUAUUUCUAUCUAUCUAUCUAUCUAUCUAUCUAUCUAUCUAUCUAUCUAUCUAUCUAUCUAUUUUUAUGUAUGAAUUUAUUUAUUCACGUUUAAAAUUUAUUUAUUUUUAUUAGGUAUUUUCUUCUUUUACAUUUCAAAUGCUAUCCCAAAAGUCCCCCAGACCCGUUGAGGACCACAUCUUUUUGUUCGAUUGAUUCUAUUUAUGAUUCUACACCAACUCUCCUCGAGCACAAGACCUUGCAUGUCCUUAUGGUGUCUUUCUUAGGUUAAAUUUGUUAGCCUAGCAUGAGAAGUUAAGCGUAUGCUUCUACCUUAAGGCAUUCAUGAGGAAUAGCUAUGGAGAGUGAAUGAUAUUUCAGUGUUUUUGUUUCUCCCACCUGGAGUUUUUGUCAGUUGUUUUAUGAAUGUUUUAAAGUGGGUUCGACUUCUAUUUCCACUUCUAUUUGCAAAAUGUGUGUUUCUGUCUCACUCGACUCUGCUCACCUGUACAAGUGAAAUUGUUUCUAAACAGAAGCAUUGUGACUGUGGGAAGGUCUACCCAUGAUCAUGGGAAAUUCAAAGUUCAGAUUCAGACAAACUUAAGCAAAUCUGUAUACUUAGCACUGCAGAUAAAUGGGAGUGUAUUUCAAGCCAAACAAAGAUCUGGCUUUAUGAAGACACAGAUCUCAUUAAUCUAUGUCAAAUUGUUGUUUAAAUACAAGCCUUUUGGAAUAAUUCAAGCUCGCUCUUGCAGGAAUUAAUCUAUCUUCACUUUGCCAUUUGUAAUUGCUGACCUGACAGGCAUUUACUGGAUUUGUUUUGUAGUGUAAAGUAUUUAAGGUGGAAAAUUAACAUCAUGAGACAAAAUGUCACCUUUUGGGUGAAAACACUCAGCAUUUUUACCUCCUGAAGUGGCAGCCCAAUUCUUCUGAUGGAUGGGUACACCUGCUGCUUUCAGAAAAGGCUUCCAGUGGGUCAUGAAGUCUCUUUUUGAAAAUUCUAAAAUAUACAGUAUGAUUACACCUGAGGCUGCAAGGUGUGUGUGUGUGUGUGUGUGUGUGUGAAUGCGUUUAUAUGCUUAUGUGCCUCUGCAUACAUAUGCAUAGAAGCUUGUGGAACUGUCUGGACUCUAAAACAAAUACACAUCAUCAUUUUGUUCUUUGUCAAACACAAUUCUCAAAAAGAGUCUAGUGUAAUUAAUUUAAAAUUCAAUGAGCAUUUGUUGGGCACAAUCUGAACUGAACAGUGGAAAACUGAACAGAUUGAGAGACUUAAGGACUUCAGGGCACAGUGGACAGAUCAACCAGGUAAGGAAGUAACUGAAGAUCGGGGUUACUGGGAUCCAUGCAAUACUGUCACCAGUAGUGGUAAAUACAGAGGACAGAGUUAGCACUGAUCAGUCUAGGAGAAACUGUAGAGCAAAUACCAUAGAGAAGGCUCAUUUUUAUCUAACCUUGAAGAAUACACCCACCUGGAAGUAUUAUGGAAGGAAGAAAGUGUUAAAAGACACAGAAACCAUGAAGUAGCAUGAAAUAUUCAUAAAUUGCUGAAGGCAGGAGUUGGGAGACAGCCCUUGUUCUGGUUAUGGGGCUCUUGGAAGGGACAACCGAGAAUAGCCACUAUUGGCCACCUUUGUAUUAAAUUCAAGGCUGAAAAACUCAAGGGGUCGCAGAAAGUUUCUGCAGAAGCUGCCUAUGAGUCUGUUGCUAGGACUGACUUGUUAGUGGUCAGUCUUGGCUCCGUUUCCAUUCUUUCAAGUGUGACGACUCCCAGGAAAAUAAUCUACCAUGUGUGAACUGUGCUGCACGAUUUCCUCUUCACGUUAUACAAGUGCUAGACAUUUGUUGACUAACAGAGAGAUGUUAGAGAGAUGGAAGAUGGUGCUUUAAGGCAUUUCCAGUUUGUGAGAGAUUAGGCAUAAACGUGCAAAGUACUCACAAUGUAGGGCUUCAGUGACAGUCGCAUUAAAAGUAAUUUGAGAAGAUUGGUUGGAACAAGCUCC